UACGACUACAUAUCAGGCAUAUCAAUAAGCGGAGGAAAAGAAACUAACUAGGAUUCCCUCAGUAACGGCGAGUGAAGCGGGAAGAGCUCAAAUUUGAAAUCUUCAAGGUUUUACCUUGACGAAUUGUAGUUUAAAGAAGUGUUUUCUGUUGAAGUUUUGGUAAAAGUUCUUUGGAAUAGGACAUCAUAGAGGGUGAGAAUCCCGUAUUUGACCAUUAUUUUCAGCUGUGUGAUACACUUUCAAAGAGUCGGAUUGUUUGGGAAUGCAGUCCAAAAUGGGUGGUAAAUUUCAUCUAAAGCUAAAUAUUGGCGAGAGACCGAUAGCGAACAAGUACCGUGAGGGAAAGAUGAAAAGAACUUUGAAAAGAGAGUUAAACAGUACGUGAAAUUGUCAAAAGGGAAGCGUUUGACACCAGUGUUGUUUUCUCGAAAAUCAAUUAAAAAAAGUUGGAUUUUGUGUUGUAUUGACCUUAACAGCUUGCUUCACUCUUUUCCAGCUUUUUUUAAUGCACUUUUCGUUUAACAAGUCAACAUCAGUUUCUUUUGUUGUAAAAGGGUCAUUGGAAGGUGGCUUUCUCUUCGGAGAAAGUGUUUAUAGCCUUUGAUCUCUGCAAUCGGAGAGACUGAGGUCUGCAGCGUAGAUCCUUCGGGGUUAGAUACAUUUGUGCUAAGCUACAGCUUUUCAUAGACAACUUGUUGACUAUGUUUAGUCUUGUGACUUACCCGCUUAUGCUAUUUUACCUACGCUUAGGAUGUUGAGCGCAUGUCUCUCUCU
rnacentral:rRNA from 1 species